UACGGAGGGUGCGAGCGUUAAUCGGAAUUACUGGGCGUAAAGCGCACGCAGGCGGUUGUUAAGCAAGAUGUGAAAGCCCCGGGCUCAACCUGGGAACUGCAUUUUGAACUGGCAGACUAGAGUCUUGGAGAGGGGGGUGGAAUUCCAGGUGUAGCGGUGAAAUGCGUAGAGAUCUGGAGGAACAUCAGUGGCGAAGGCGGCCCCUGGCCAAAGACUGACGCUGAGUGGAGAACGUGGGGAGCGAAACAGGAUUA
rnacentral:rRNA from 1 species